UGGGGAAUAUUGCACAAUGGGCGCAAGCCUGAUGCAGCCAUGCCGCGUGUAUGAAGAAGGCCUUCGGGUUGUAAAGUACUUUCAGCGAGGAGGAAGGCGUUGUGGUUAAUAACCGCAACGAUUGACGUUACUCGCAGAAGAAGCACCGGCUAACUCCGUGCCAGCAGCCGCGGUAAUACGGAGGGUGCAAGCGUUAAUCGGAAUUACUGGGCGUAAAAGCGCACGCAGGCGGUCUGUCAAAGUCGGAUGUGAAAAUCCCGGGCGUCAACCUGGAAGACUGCAUCCGAAACUGGCAGGCUAGAGUCUUGUAGA
rnacentral:rRNA from 1 species